AUUGCAGCAAUCCAGCUACAUUAUAACCAAUUUCUAGCUGUUUAAUUAAGGAAGCUGCUUUUGCUGUUUCCUUGACUCCAGACUCUCCUCUCCUAUAUGUAUAGCAGGCAAAUCUUUUAAGCCAGGGCUUGUGUCUGGCUAGAUUUUAUUCCAUGGAAAAUAACAUGCGUACCCGAUGAAUAUUUGGCUUACAACAGAAGCAAGGUUUUGGAAAGAGUUCGGAGGCUGAAGAAGCCAGCAGACACUCUGCUAUAGAGAGACUCCUUCUGGCCCUCUGGAAAGAGAGACUACUGGUUGGAGAAAGCUACAUUAAGAACAGCAUUUGAACCAGGGAUGGUGGUGCUUGCCUUUAAUCCCAGCACUCGGGAGGCAGAGGUAGGUCUGCCUGGUCUAAAGGCCAGUCUGGUCUAGAGGCCAACCUAGUGUACAGAGUGAUCCAGGAUAGCCAGGGCCAUACAGAGAAACCCUGUCUUGAAAACCUGAUCCAACCCAACCCAACCUAGCCCAACCCACAUUAACCCAAACCAAAAGGAAUAACAUGAGGUCUAAACAUACAACCCAGUGGUUAAGAGUGCUUGCUGGUUUUGCAGAUGACCCACAUCUGGAUCCCAGCAUGACACUGGUGGUUUGCACACAACCACUGUAACUCCGUGUCCAGGAAAUCCAAUGCCCUCUUCUGAUUUCUGCCAUCCAUCUCACACA
rnacentral:sRNA from 1 species